ACCGAAGGCAGACGUGUAAUUUGUAAAUAUUGAAUGUUUGCUCUUGAUUGUUGGUAUUACUUAUUGAUUUAUCUUCCGCCAAUGUUUGUCAAUGGCGGACACUAUAGCGCAGUGGAAAAGCAAAUCAGUGCGAGUGAACGAGGUCAUAAUUGCACCAUUGCUGUACUUCGUUGUAAAUGCUCUUAAUCCUCAAAUUUUUUUACUGUAUUGCUUCAACCUGCUCCCAGAACAUCCAGACUUGAUCUAAUUUAUAAAAGUACAUUUCCUAAACUGUGCGACUGACAAACGAACACGGAAUCUCAUUUACGCCAAAUUGCAUUAUGGAGGAUAAGCAAGCUGAAAUGUACUAGACAUCAAAAAAACGACAAUGGACUAGUCACAUAGCUCGAAGAACCGACAACCGAUGAGUAAAAUAGGUUCUUGAGUGGUGACUUCGUAAGGAUAGACGCAGUGCAGGACGAACCCCUACUGGAUGGAGUGACGAUCUCAAAUGUAUUGCAGAGAGUCAGUGGAUGGAGGUGGCUCAGGACCAUUCCUUAUAGGAGAGAAGGCUCAUGUUCAGCAGUGGAUAGAUAAUAGCUGAGAUGAUGAUAAUGAUGAUGAUGUUGAUGAACAGAAUCGCAACUUUGCAACACGGCUGUUUCGCAACAAAAAUACGAAUGGAACAAAGAUACGCAUGCAGACGACUUUAGUGUUAAAAAAAAAAUAAGAAAAAUCUUUCCAAUUCGCUACCCACACCAGCUAAAAACCGCCACUGCUAUCGCGAAAUAAUUAAAUAUGGCAAUUGUGCAUUGUUUCCCACUAUUACGUCAUUAAUUAAUGCAUGUUGUGGAGAUAAAAGAAACAAAGGUACCGACAGGGCGCCAUUACGGUGACGACGUUCGAUUGUAACUUGAAUAAAUUGUAUCUACAAGGCACAUCAAAGUAAACUACACGGAAAAAUCGAUUACUCAAUAAUCGAUUAUAAAUAUUCGAAUAAUCAGUAGUAAAGAAAAAUUUGAGUGCGGAAAUGG